rnacentral:rRNA from 1 species
UACGAAGGGGGCUAGCGUUGUUCGGAAUUACUGGGCGUAAAGCGCACGUAGGCGGAAUGUUAAGUCAGGGGUGAAAUCCCGGGGCUCAACCCCGGAACUGCCUUUGAUACUGGCAUUCUCGAGUCCGGAAGAGGUGAGUGGAAUUCCGAGUGUAGAGGUGAAAUUCGUAGAUAUUCGCAAGAACACCAGUGGCGAAGGCGGCUCGACUGGCCCGGAACUGACGCUGAGGUGCGAAAGCGUGGGGAGCAAACAGG